rnacentral:rRNA from 1 species
AUUGAACGCUGGCGGCAGGCCUAACACAUGCAAGUCGAACGAGUGGCGGACGGGUGAGUAAUGUCUGGGAAACUGCCCGAUGGAGGGGGAUAACUACUGGAAACGGUAGCUAAUACCGCAUACCAUCGGAUGUGCCCAGAUGGGAUUAGCUAGUAGGGGGGGUAACGGCUCACCUAGGCGACGAUCCCUAGCUGGUCUGAGAGGAUGACCAGCUACACGGGGACUGAGACACGGUACAGACUGCUACGGGAGGCAGCAGUGGAGAAUAUUGCACAAUGGGCGGGAGCCUGAUGAAGCCAUGCCGCGUGUAUGAAGAAGGCAUUCGGGUUGUAAAGGACUUUCAGCGGGGAGGCGUUACACGCAGAAGAAGCACCGGCUAACUCCGUGCCAGCAGCCGCGGUAAUAC